CGUCCUCAUGUGCUGUUGGCCCAGACUCCACACCCUUUCACGCUUCAUCUUGUACCAGCCAGCUUCCUGCUUCUCCAUCCACUGAAACCAUCCCGUCCGCUGUCACAAAGGAACUCUGUGUUGGCCGCUCCACGGGAUCUGGAAGCUUAAGAACUACAUUCUGCCAAACCGAGUGAAUCAUGUGAGAAGUUGAAGAUGGAAGAGAACUAAUUGGAGGUUCUGUGGCUGCGACAGACAGAUGGUUGGCCUUUGGAGGAGGACCAAACCUUGGAGGGGAAAGUCAUGCCUUGAGACCUGCCCUUUCUUGUCUGGACAGAGGAUAACACUUGUUCAAGAUUUAUAAGAACGUGUUACCUGACCAUGACCUGACCUCCAGAACAAGGGAUCUGACACCAAGAUUUUUACAACCACUUCUCAUGGCCCUCUCUCCUCUCUCCUUGAAAAGGGUUUUGCUGAGAGUUUGAGAUGUUUUAAUGCACAAGCCACCCCUCUCCUUGCA